rnacentral:rRNA from 1 species
CAGGGCUUUCGUCUUGUAAUUGGAAUGAUGGUGAUGUACAACCUCACCAGAGUACCAAUUGGAGGGCAAGUCUGGUGCCAGCAGCCGCGGUAAUUCCAGCUCCAAUAGCGUAUAUUAAACUUGUUGCAGUUAAAAAGCUCGUAGUUGUAUUUCAGCCUCGCGUUUUUUCCCUCGUUUUGGGUCUUUUCGCUGGCUUUUUUUUUACUUUGAGAAAAUUAGAGUGUUUCAAGCAGACUUUUGUCUUGAAUACUUCAGCAUGGAAUAAUAGAGUAGGACCUUGGUUCUAUUUUGUUGGUUUUGAGCCUUGGUAAUGGUUAAUAGGAACGGUUGGGGGCAUUCGUAUUUAACUGUCAGAGGUGAAAUUCUUAGAUUUGUUAAAGACGAACCACUGCGAAAGCAUUUGCCAAGGACGUUUUCAUUAAUCAAGAAC